rnacentral:rRNA from 1 species
UACGAAGGGGGCUAGCGUUGCUCGGAAUUACUGGGCGUAAAGGGCGCGUAGGCGGACAGUUUAGUCAGAGGUGAAAGCCCAGGGCUCAACCUUGGAACUGCCUUUGAUACUGACUGUCUUGAGUUCGGGAGAGGUGAGUGGAAUGCCGAGUGUAGAGGUGAAAUUCGUAGAUAUUCGGCGGAACACCAGUGGCGAAGGCGACUCACUGGCCCGAUACUGACGCUGAGACACGAAAGCGUGGGUAGCAAACAGG